UGGGGAAUUUUGGACAAUGGGCGCAAGCCUGAUCCAGCCAUGCCGCGUGCGGGAAGAAGGCCUUCGGGUUGUAAACCGCUUUUGUCAGGGAAGAAAUCUUCUGAGUUAAUACCUCGGGAGGAUGACGGUACCUGAAGAAUAAGCACCGGCUAACUACGUGCCAGCAGCCGCGGUAAUACGUAGGGUGCAAGCGUUAAUCGGAAUUACUGGGCGUAAAGCGUGCGCAGGCGGUUUUGUAAGACAGAGGUGAAAUCCCCGGGCUCAACCUGGGAACUGCCUUUGUGACUGCAAGGCUUGAGUGCGGCAGAGGGGAUGGAAUUCCGCGUGUAGCAGUGAAAUGCGUAGAUAUGCGGAGGAACACCGAUGGCGAAGGCAAUCCCCUGGGCCUGCACUGACGCUCAUGCACGAAAGCGUGGGGAGCAAAACAGGAUUAGAUACCCUGGUAGUCCACGCCCUAAAACGAUGUCAACUGGUUGUU
rnacentral:rRNA from 1 species